rnacentral:rRNA from 1 species
CGGCCGCAAGGUUAAAACUCAAAUGAAUUGACGGGGGCCCGCACAAGCGGUGGAGCAUGUGGUUUAAUUCGAUGCAACGCGAAGAACCUUACCUACUCUUGACAUCCAGCGAAUCCUUUAGAGAUAGAGGAGUGCCUUCGGGAACGCUGAGACAGGUGCUGCAUGGCUGUCGUCAGCUCGUGUUGUGAAAUGUUGGGUUAAGUCCCGCAACGAGCGCAACCCUUAUCCUUUGUUGCCAGCGCGUCAUGGCGGGAACUCAAAGGAGACUGCCGGUGAUAAACCGGAGGAAGGUGGGGAUGACGUCAAGUCAUCAUGGCCCUUACGAGUAGGGCUACACACGUGCUACAAU